ensembl:snoRNA SNORD116 Small nucleolar RNA SNORD116
GGAUUGAUGAUGACUUCAAAAAUGGAUCUCACUGGAAUCUGAACAAACUGAGUGACAAAAUCACUCAUGUGAACUGAAGUCC